CCCCCCCCCCCCCCCCCCCCCCCCCCCCCCCCCCCCCCCCCCCCAGCCCCGCUGGCCGGGCGAGGCAGGAGGAGGCACAGGUGCUGCCGGGCAGCGCCUGUCUGCGCCCUGCCGCCGUGCGGUGGCGGGUGCCUAGCUGAGGAAAAGGGAGGCCGGUUGCUGGGAACGGGCGAGAAUCCCAUCCGUAUGGAUGCCGCGCACCGGGCAGUCAUAAGGAAGGGUGCAUAAAUGCAAGCUUGAAGGUGUCUGCAGAAGAAGCUGCAUGCAAAGAAAUGAAGACUCAGUGCUCUUCCCUGACGACUGCCACCAAACUGGCAUAGG
rnacentral:lncRNA from 12 species